CGCGUAGGCGGUUCGAUAAGUCGGAGGUGAAAUUCCUCGGCUCAACCGAGGACCCGCGUCCGAUACUGUUGAACUUGAGUGCAGGAGAGGAGAGCGGAAUUCCCAGUGUAGCGGUGAAAUGCGUAGAUAUUGGGAGGAACACCGGUGGCGAAGGCGGCUCUCUGGACUGCUACUGACGCUGAGGCGCGAAAGCUAGGGGAGCAAACGGGAUUAGAUACCCCGGUAGUCCUAGCCGUAAACGAUGGGCACUAGGUGUGGGAGGUAUCGACCCCUUCCGUGCCGCAGCUAACGCAUUAAGUGCCCCGCCUGGGGAGUACGGCCGCAAGGUUGAA
rnacentral:rRNA from 1 species